rnacentral:rRNA from 1 species
GAUGAACGCUGGCGGCGUGCCUAAUACAUGCAAGUAGAACGCUGAAGCUUGGUGCUUGCACCGAGCGGAUGAGUUGCGAACGGGUGAGUAACGCGUAGGUAACCUGCCUCUUAGCGGGGGAUAACUGUUGGAAACGAUAGCUAAUACCGCAUAAAAGUCGAUAUCGCAUGAUAUUGAUUUGAAAGGUGCAAAUGCAUCACUAAGAGAUGGACCUGCGUUGUAUUAGCUAGUUGGUGAGGUAACGGCUCACCAAGGCGACGAUACAUAGCCGACCUGAGAGGGUGAUCGGCCACACUGGGACUGAGACACGGCCCAGACUCCUACGGGAGGCAGCAGUAGGGAAUCUUCGGCAAUGGGGGCAACCCUGACCGAGCAACGCCGCGUGAGUGAAGAAGGUUUUCGGAUCGUAAAGCUCUGUUGUAAGAGAAGAACGAGUGUGAGAGUGGAAAGUUCACACUGUGACGGUAACUUACCAGAAAGGGACGGCUAACUACGUG